AUUGAACGCUGGCGGCAGGCUUAACACAUGCAAGUCGAGCGGAGAUGAGGUGCUUGCACCUUAUCUUAGCGGCGGACGGGUGAGUAAUGCUUAGGAAUCUGCCUAUCAGUGGGGGACAACAUUCCGAAAGGAAUGCUAAUACCGCAUACGUCCUACGGGAGAAAGCAGGGGAUCUUCGGACCUUGCGCUAAUAGAUGAGCCUAAGUCGGAUUAGCUAGUUGGUGGGGUAAAGGCCUACCAAGGCGACGAUCUGUAGCGGGUCUGAGAGGAUGAUCCGCCACACUGGGACUGGAACACGGCCCAGACUCCGACGGGAGGCAGCAGUGGGGAAUAUUGGACAAGGGGGGGAACCCUGAUCCAGCCAUGCCGCGUGUGUGAAGAAGGCCUUAUGGUUUUAAAGCACUUUAAGCGAGGAGGAGGCUACUGAGACUAAUACUCUUGGAUAGUGGACGUUACUCGCAGAAUAAGCACCGGCUAACUCUGUGCCAGCAGCCGCGGUAAGAC
rnacentral:rRNA from 1 species